ensembl:snRNA U6 U6 spliceosomal RNA
CUGCUCAUUUUAGCAGCACAUAUUCUAAAAUUGGAACAUUACAGAGAAGAUUAGCAUGGCUUCUGUGCAAGGAUGACAUGCAAAUCUGUGAAGUGUUCCAUAUUUUU